GACGAACGCUGGCGGCGUGCCUAAUACAUGCAAGUUGAGCGCUGAAGGUUGGUACUUGUACCCACUGGAUGAGCAGCGAACGGGUGAGUAACGCGUGGGGAAUCUGCCUUUGAGCGGGGGACAACAUUUGGAAACGAAUGCUAAUACCGCAUAAAAACUUUAAACACAAUUUUUAAGUUUGAAAGAUGCAAUUGCAUCACUCAAAGAUGAUCCCGCGUUGUAUUAGCUAGUUGGUGAGGUAAAGGCUCACCAAGGCGAUGAUACAUAGCCGACCUGAGAGGGUGAUCGGCCACAUUGGGACUGAGACACGGCCCAAACUCUUACGGGAGGCAGCAGUAGGGAAUCUUCGGCAAUGGACGAAAGUCUGACCGAGCAACGCCGCGUGAGUGAAGAAGGUUUUCGGAUCGUAAAACUCUGUUGGUAGAGAAGAACGUUGGUGAGAGUGGAAAGCUCAUCAAGUGACGGUAACUACCCAGAAAGGGACGGCUAACUACGUG
rnacentral:rRNA from 1 species